AAGUUCCUGAAGCCAAAAAGCCAGUGGAGGAGAAGAUAACUGCAAACGUUGUCCCAGAGAAACACCCCUCUCCAAAAGAAGAACAUGAAGAAGCAAAGAAGCCUGCCCAUAAGCCAGCUGAGAAACCUGAACAGGUUCCACUAAAGAAAGAUGUGCCUCAAGCUGCACCCCAUGUUGCUGAACCAAAACCAGAGCCUGAAGUUUCACCUGCGACUAAGGUUGAACCUGAACCGAAGCGUGCGCCUAUAAGGAAACCAGAGAGUCCACCAA